AGAAUCAACGCUGGCGGCGUGCCUAACACAUGCAAGUCGAACGAGAAAGUGGAGCAAUCCAUGAGUAAAGUGGCGACCGGGUGAGUAACACGUGACUAACCUACCCUUGAGUGGGGGAUAACCUCGGGAAACCGGGCUAAUACCGCAUAACAUCUUUGGAUCGGAAGAACUGGAGAUCAAAGGAGCAAUUCGCUUAAGGAGGGGUCGCGGCUGAUUAGCUAGUUGGCGGGUAAUGGCCCACCAAGGCUUUGAUCGGUA
rnacentral:rRNA from 1 species